CCAGCUUGCUGGGUGGAUUAGUGGCGAACGGGUGAGUAACACGUGAGUAACCUGCCCUUAACUCUGGGAUAAGCCUGGGAAACUGGGUCUAAUACCGGAUAGGAGCGCCCACCGCAUGGUGGGUGUUGGAAAGAUUUAUCGGUUUUGGAUGGACUCGCGGCCUAUCAGCUUGUUGGUGAGGUAAUGGCUCACCAAGGCGACGACGGGUAGCCGGCCUGAGAGGGUGACCGGCCACACUGGGACUGAGACACGGCCCAGACUCCUACGGGAGGCAGCAGUGGGGAAUAUUGCACAAUGGGCGCAAGCCUGAUGCAGCGACGCCGCGUGAGGGAUGACGGCCUUCGGGUUGUAAACCUCUUUCAGUAGGGAAGAAGCGAAAGUGACGGUACCUGCAGAAGAAGCACCGGCUAACUACGUGCCAGCAGCCGCGGUAAUACGUAGGGUGCGAGCGUUAUCCGGAAUUAUUGGGCGUAAAGAGCUCGUAGGCGGUUUGUCGCGUCUGUCGUGAAAGUCCGGGGCUUAACCCCGGAUCUGCGGUGGGUACGGGCAGACUAGAGUGCAGUAGGGGAGACUGGAAUUCCUGGUGUAGCGGUGGAAUGCGCAGAUAUCAGGAGGAACACCGAUGGCGAAGGCAGGUCUCUGGGCUGUAACUGACGCUGAGGAGCGAAAGCAUGGGGAGCGAACAGGAUUAGAUACCCUGGUAGUCCAUGCCGUAAACGUUGGGCACUAGGUGUGGGGACCAUUCCACGGUUUCCGCGCCGCAGCUAACGCAUUAAGUGCCCCGCCUGGGGAGUACGGCCGCAAGGCUAAAACUCAAAGGAAUUGACGGGGGCCCGCACAAGCGGCGGAGCAUGCGGAUUAAUUCGAUGCAACGCGAAGAACCUUACCAAGGCUUGACAUGUUCUCGAUCGCCGUAGAGAUACGGUUUCCCCUUUGGGGCGGGUUCACAGGUGGUGCAUGGGUUGUCGUCAGCUCGUGUCGUGAGAUGUUGGGUUAAGUCCCGCAACGAGCGCAACCCUCGUUCCAUGUUGCCAGCACGUCGUGGUGGGGACUCAUGGGAGACUGCCGGGGUCAACUCGGAGGAAGGUGAGGACGACGUCAAAUCAUCAUGCCCCUUAUGUCUUGGGCUUCAUGCAUGCUACAAUGGCCGGUACAAUGGGUUGCGAUACUGUGAGGUGGAGCUAAUCCCAAAAAGCCGGUCUCAGUUCGGAUUGGGGUCUGCAACUCGACCCCAUGAAGUCGGAGUCGCUAGUAAUCGCAGAUCAGCAACGCUGCGGUGAAUACGUUCCCGGGCCUUGUACACACCGCCCGUCAAGUCACGAAAGUUGGUAACACCCGAAGCCGGUGGC
rnacentral:rRNA from 1 species